GGAUGUCCUUCCUGGCUUGUUACUGUGUGCUGGACACUGAGAAUCAUCCUCACUAACCAUUGGACACUCUUUGCUGUGGGGAGGCUGAUGUCCAACCUCUAGGACUGAGUAAGGGUUGGGCACCAGCUCUGGAGCUAGCUCUAAAACAGUCUUUUAUAGAGCCACUGCCGGAAGAGUGUGUGGACAUUCCCAGGCUCCUGAAUGUUAAACACACCAUAACCUUCUGAAGCCACAGAAUUGAAUGACGAUGGUCUCAGAGGAGAGGAAGCAGCUCUGGCUGAUGUUGGAGCUCCUGCCCACUUCAUAGCCAUCCAGCCCUUCCCAGCUCUCCUGGAUCUUCCCCUGGGCUCAGAUGCAGUCAAGGCCAGCUGUGGAUCCCGACACACAGCUGUGGUGACACGAACAGGAGAACUCUAUACCUGGGGCUGGGGUAAAUAUGGACAGCUUGGCCACAGGGACAGCACCAGCUCGGACCAGCCCUGCCGUGUGGAAUACUUUGUAGAAAGACAACUUGAAGUAAGGGCUGUUACAUGUGGACCCUGGAAUACCUAUGUCUAUGCAGUGGAGAGAGAGAGAACAUCUGAACUAUAUCUCAGGUGGAUCCCCAGGCUGCUUAUGUACCUGGGUGAGAAUGAACUCUUGCUUCAACAUGCUGUCCUGGGUGCAUGGAAACAAGGCCACAGCGAUCUCCCCGCCUCCUCAGUGCUGGGAUUAAAGGUCAAGAUUUGAAUCAUCAAAUGUCCCUACAGCCAUGCCUUUGUGCCUCCAUGAUGGACUCUAAUCAUCUGAAGUUGUUUUAUACUGUAAGCUCCUACAUGUGGCUAACUGAUUCACUCGGAAAACUUCUCAGUAACGAGGCAUGGUGCUGUUCUUGAGUUCUCCAGAUCGUCCUGGAGCAGUGGGCCAGAUGGUGAUCCCCUUUGAAGAAGCAAGCUCUCAUGGAUUCCCGAAUUCCAGAGUAAUUAACUUUAGCAACACACUGAGUGCUUCUGAAAGCAGACUUUUCUGAAGACAAGACUCUGAUGGAAGCCAGCCAUGUUGAGCCCUUUGACUGCAGCUCUAAGUCGAGGACCUAACUCAGUCUGCUCAGUGCGUGCAUGCAUACACCUGGAAAAUGAAUGGUAACAUCAGUUACUUGGUUUGCUGUGUUAAUUAGAAGAGAGUACUAUCUCACACUGAUAUUCUCUUAAGACUAUAUCAUUCUUAAGAAUAUACAAUUUUGGAAACCAACAUAGAAAAGUACGAUAAAAGAUAUCACAGUUUAUGAAUCUCAAAAUCAUAAUACCUGACGCCUUCUGGAAGUGUCUACUGUGGUCCAUUCCUCCUGACUAUUAUUCAGUCUCAUUUUCCCCCUAUUAGUUAUGCUGACCCCACUAAAGACAAGGAACAUUGUACUGCUUAGGACAGAAUUCUUAAAGCAGAAUACAGGCAAAGUGGAUGAGACUCAGGCUAUAGAGAUCUUAAGCUCACCUGAAAAAAAAAUCCCACAAUAGGAGGGAAAUUGAAUUAACAAAGGCCAGGUGGAUAUUACUUAUUAGCCCAGUCAAGAUGAGAUUUAUAACAGGAAACUGAGCUCUCUGCCUUGGAUUUGUUUUCUUUUGUCAUGGCCUCAUUCCAAGUCAUAUUCUUUCCUCAUUAAGAUAAGACAUGAACCCCAUCUGACAUCAGAUGUUCACAAGGCUCGACCUGUCCUCCUUCACUGAGGAGGACCAUGGUAGAGAUGUUAAUUCUAUACCCAUAUCAAGUUUUCUUUCUGGAUGCCCGGGAGGGCUGUAUUUCCAGGGUUUCCUUAUAGCUGGGCUGAGGCCAAGGGGAUGGAUGAAUAGGAGGGAUGAGAGAACGGCAUCACUACCUGGCUGUGUUAAAGACAAUGCUUCAUUCCUUAUACCCAAAUCUCUCUUUCCUUUGCCGUUAUGUCUUACCGGCCCCAUGGUUCAGAUGGAGAAAGGACAACACAGUAAAGGUUUGAGCAAACUGAGGUGGGUGUGUCGUGGGCAACAAAUAAAGCUGGAUUAUAUUAAAGUGCUGAAGUAUGAACUUAAUUAUUUGUACCUUCCAUCUGGUCUAGCCUACACAACUUGAUAUGCAAAUCACUUUCCCGGUUUCCCAACAGCUAACUUAGCACAUUAGGGUUGUUCUUAUACCCAGCAGCUGUAGGAUACUUCUAGCAAUGGCAGUUGCUCGUAAGGAAAGCCAUCCCCAGGUGAUUGGAAAUGUGAAAAAACACACCCUAAGGACAUUACUUGUCUUUUGAGAGAUUCAUUAUGAUACAUCAUGGUCAAUAUCCCCAGUCAUGAGUUCAACUCUUGCCCAAAAGUCAACCAAGAAGUUCAGAGAUAACUGAUCCAAAACCAGAAUUUUGGUGUGCAUUUGCCAGCACAGAUUCUCUGGACAUUUUUAGUCCACUAAACAAAUACUUCGUUAACCUGAAAAUUUUUAUAUUACUUACACUGGUUUCAUGUCUGUGAAUUUAUAUGACUCAGUUUUGUGUGUCUGUUUAAAAAUAUGAGGGCUCAAUGUAAAUUCCUUAUUUUUCUGCUAAUAACAUGCUUUGUUUCUGCUUUGCUUUUUAUUAAACGUUAAUACAUUUAUAUUGGAGAAGAAGUCAAUCCUUUCCUUUGCAAAUCCCACGGAAGUAGAGAGUUAGACUCCAGAGAUCAUGAUUAGCAUCAUAGUGUGUAAGCUUUUCUACAUUAGUAUUAUCCCGGGGACAAUUUUCAUUAUAGAAAAUCUUCUUGUUCUGAGGAAAUGGGAUGAGGAAUGUUAGCACGAGACUGUGAGAAAAUUCCGUUCUCUGUACUAGCCUUUUAAUGAUACGAGGGGAGACAUCUUUCGUGGUGUACUUUUCGUUGUUUAUGAAUUUUAAACCACCGGGGAGCAUUCUGCUUCCUCAAUUAGACAACAGCUAGGAAUAUAACUAAUAUUUCUCUUAAGGUUAUUUUUCUCAUUGGCAGUUACAUUUUUAUACUUUAAGUUGAAGAGACCAAAAAAGAGCUUUUUUUUUUUCUUUUGGUGUGUGUAGAAUUGAGCUAAAUUAGUAAAUUGUCUAAAUUAGUAGCAGCAACAAAGCAGUGCUGACAAUUCCGCACCCACAGGAGUCCUGCAGGAGCCAGCAGGUGCCAGAGCUCACCUCACAGACUCCAGCACUUACUUUGCCACAGUAGUAUCUGUCACUUUCUCUCCCUUGAAGACUUGUUCUGACAUUGGCAUUUUAACUGUCCUAUUAUGGUGAACACACUUGUCAUUGCUGUCCUUACAGCUUCUUUAUUAAGGGUGGAACUCGAAGACUUUACAUAAUCUGAUUUUUUCAAAAUACAGCUGUAAUUCUCUGAUUUUUAACUGGGCUGCCUCACCCUUCCACAGUCAAUGCUCUCAUAUGGUUAGGCCUAUCCCUACCAUUUUUGCCUUUUGUUUUCUAUAUAACUCAGAUUUAGUUUUUUGUUAGAUUUUUUUUUAAAAAAAUAGCUUACUUCUCUCCUUUAUUAUAUUCUGCCUAUGUGAAAUUUCAAGUGGAAUCUUUUUCUUAAAUUUGUUGCAUUAUUUUUAAGUUAAAAUUUAAAAUUUAAGGAUUAAAUAAACAUACUUUUAUUUUAAUUAGAAGCUAGUUUAGGCUUCGAAGUCCCUCAACACCGUCAACCUCUGCAAUGGAUGUACAUGGCUCUGUACAUCUUAUACCAGAGCAUUAGUCUUCUCGCCAAGCCUCCUCCUUCCCCAAGGGUCACUAAAGUCCUUGGCUAGUGCCGACGGAAUCCUGUUUGACUCUGUGAUCACCAUUUAUUGAGCAAUUUUUAAACCAAAUCUUCACAGUUACACUGCCUAGAAUCUAUCCCAACAAGCAUGUCCCCUUUCUCCUGCCUACUUCCUACCCCUCUUACUGUCACUUAAGCAUUCCAGCAAAUGUCCCCAUUCGUAAUUAUUUCCAUUAUUGUCGUGUCUGAAAUUAUACUGUUUUUCUUGAUGACCGAAGAGAAAAAUACCAUCUGCUGAGAGAGCCCAGGCUCCUUUGGUCUUUAAUUAACAUGCAAAGUCUUUUAUCAUUGCAUUCUUUUCCUGUUUGACAUGAAAAUGUCUUGGGCUUCUUAUGUUGAAAUAUAUACUCAGGAAUAAUAUUUAGCCUCCAUUAAAGCCUUUAAAUCACCAGCUCCAUCUUUUUAUUCUUGUUUCUAGUGCUGCCUACAAUAUGAUCCCAUUUCCCACCUUCUGUCGGGGAUAACUCUCUCUAAAGGAACACCACCUGUGGCCUCUUGAGAGCCGAACUCCACAGAUGGCACAUUUAUGUAGCAUGGUCCCUACAAAUGUACCAGCUCGUGGUAUUUUAAGGUUCCCACUUCUUCUUUUAGAGCUGGACAAGUCCCUCUAGACUGAGUGAGGAUGGCCCUGGAAAAUGACAUCUUGUUUUGACAGCAUGAUAUGAAUUUCUCUGGGAAGGCACAGGAUUGGUUUAUAUAUUUGUAAAUUAGAAGUUAGGGCAAAACUUUAUAAAUUAGGAACUUUAUAGAUUAGGGCAAAAAUGUAUAAAUUCGACGUUUGGAAGUGAGGAAAGAGUAAGCUUCUCUGUAUUUUUAUGGCUGAUUCUCAUUAGUUGUCGAAAUGGGAAUACUUGCUUCUUUGUGAUAAUGUGAGAGAACGGUGAGUGCUAAUAGGUUUGGAUUGCCCUGUUGUCUGACACAGGGCCCCAGAAGACUGGUCUCCUCUAGUAGUAACAGUAACAUUUCUGAGAAUAAUUGCCAAGGCUACUCUGACCCAUGGUGUUCCAGUAGUACACAGGCGUGACCAGAGAUAGUAGCCUCUGACAAUUGCCUUGAAAUACAAUAAAGGUCUUCACUAUGGUCACUGUCAUUGGGACUUCCGGUAAGAUUUCCGCCUCAGACUAUGGUGUGCUCACCUGUAAAAUAGGAAAAUAGCACAAUUCAGUUGCCACAGGGCUCAGUUAAAUCCAACAUACGCAGUGCUUAAUAAAUGGUAACAGUUUUUCCAGUAAACAUAUGACUGGUUUUUGGUCAUCUACGUGUCAGACACCAAGCUACACUGAUUGGCAGCUGUCAAAGUGCAAAGCACAGUUCCAACAUCCAAGGAGCUUACCACUCUGUAAAAGGAACAAAAGAAAUCACUCCCCAAAGACUCCACAUGGACAGACCCAGGGCUCCAGCUGCAUAUGGAGCACAGGAUGGCCUUGUUGGGCACCAGUGGAAGGAGAAGCCCUUGGUCCUGCCAAGGUUGGACCCCCAGUGCAGGGGAAUGUUGCAGGGUGGUGGUAAGGGGGUGUGGAUGGGGGAGAACCUUUAUGGGGGAGGGGGAGGAGAUAGGGGGCUUAUGGACAGGAAACUGGGAAAGACAGUAACAUUUGAAAUGUAAAUAAAGAAAUAUAUCCAAUUUAGAAACAAAGCCUUUUAUACUGACGUCUGUGUCUCUGCAGGUGCUCUGAUGGUAGAGAGAGGGAACAGAAGACAGUGAGUUGAAGAUGGGGUGGACAGUGGAGACCUCCGUGUCCCUCAUGGAAUGCAAGCAUCUGAAAUUCUUUAUCUCCAGCACGAGUUUAUAGGAACAGGUCAUAUUUUGUUGUUUUAGAGAUGAUGAAGUCUGUGCUGUUAUCAAGUCAUAAGAUGUAAUUGAGGCAGUUUCUGGGAUUCUUCUCUUGCUCUGGUGCCCAAGGUCUUUGCUACAGAAGCUUGAUUCCUUUCAAAGUUGCAAGGAGGCUAAAAUUUACAGACUGGAUUUUAGCAUAAAUUUAGAAUGGAACCGACUUUAUGGUAAGAGCAUGAAAGGAAGCAGUUACUGCCCUUUCUUAUCUCAGGUACUGAAAGGAGAACUCAUCGUCGCUCCACCAGAACUAUUUAAAUGUGUUAAGAAUGCUGUUUGCACAUUUGAUUGUAUUAGAAGGCAUCAAUAAAAGCUUUCCAGAAAGAGUUUUCUCAUCAGAAACAAAAGAGACAGGAAUACAUUUGUAACUAUGGAGACAUUCUCUCCAUGUUUUUUCACACUUAGAAGGUACAAGCUUUCAUAUCAGGUGAUAAGGAAAAUGUGGACACAAUCACCUAUUUCUUAUUAAUAACCAGUUUUUAAUAAGAAAGAGAAACUUAUCUGGAGACUAUCCCUUUAAGUAACUACAUUAAAAGCAGCUAUGUAAUUAUUACUCAAGUCCUAGUGUAAUUGAACCUGAUUUGAACAAAGUUUUCCUAUCAUAAUAAGAUCUGAGAAGCAAAUGGAGACGGGUAAUAGGCUUUUCAGACUGGUCAUCUGGUGUCACUCUGGAAACAAUGGAGAGCUAUUCCUUAGAAUACUGUCUGAGGGACAUUGUGCAGACCAGUCUGAAAUGGCCUCAUUGGAAAAUCACAUGCCCAUUUUAAUUUUCACCUCACGGUCUCAACAGUGACUGGUCGUCUACUGAACCAUUUGCUGUACAUCAAGAUGGCAAGUAAAAGAUUGCCAUGCUCGAAGGAGAGCUGGUUCUGAAUUAUCUCUGUAUCUGUACAGAAAAAGGAAAAAAAGGCUCUUAAUUUUCCAAUACACAUAGUUUAAUUAGCAAUGCAUUAUUUAUUUAAACGUUGAUGCUAGGAUCUGAAGAUUUUCAGGAAACAAGUAGAUUUUUUUCUUUUUCUUUUCUUUUUUAUUAUGUAUUUUUAUUUUGUAUUUGUAUUUUUUAUUAUGUAUUUCUUUACUUAUAUUUCAAAGGUUAUUCCCCUUCCUGGUUUCCUGUCCAUAAGCCCCCAUUCCCUUCCCUCCCCCUCCCCCAUAUGGGUAUUCUCCCUAUACAUCCCCCUAAUUGCCCUCCCCCAUAUUUUCCUGCACUGGGGGGUCCAACCUUGGCAAGACCAAGGGCUUUCCUUUCCACUGGUGCCCCAACAAGGCUACAUAUCCAGUUGGAGCCCUGGGUCAGUCCAUGUAUAGUCUUUUGGUAGUGGCUUAGUCCCUGGAAGCUCUGGUUGGUUGGCAUUGUUGUUUUUAUGGGGUUGCAAGCUCCUUCAACUCUUUCAAUCCUUCCUCUAUUUCCCCCCAAGGGGGUCCUAUUCUCAGGUCAGUGGUUUGCUGCUAGUAUUGACCUCUGUAUUGGACAUGCU